AUUGAACGCUGGCGGCAUGCUUUACACAUGCAAGUCGAACGGUAACAGGCCUUCGGGCGCUGACGAGUGGCGAACGGGUGAGUAAUGCAUCGGAACGUGCCCAGUCGUGGGGGAUAACGCAGCGAAAGCUGUGCUAAUACCGCAUACGAUCUGCGGAUGAAAGCGGGGGACCUUCGGGCCUCGCGCGAUUGUAGCGGCCGAUGUCAGAUUAGGUAGUUGGUGGGGUAAAGGCUCACCAAGCCAACGAUCUGUAGCUGGUCUGAGAGGACGACCAGCCACACUGGGGCUGAGAGACGGCCCAGACUCCUACGGGAGGCAGCAGUGGGGAAUUUUGGGCAAUGGGCGCAAGCCUGAUCCAGCAAUGCCGCGUGCAGGAAGAAGGCCUUCGGGUUGUAAACUGCUUUUGUACGGAGCGAAAAGGCUCCCUCUAAUACAGGGGGCUCAUGACGGUACCGUAAGAAUAAGCACCGGCUAACUACGUGCCAGCCGCCGCGGUAAGAC
rnacentral:rRNA from 1 species